rnacentral:rRNA from 1 species
UAGUAGCGGCGAGCGAAGCGGGAAGAGCUCAAAUUUAUAAUCUGGCACCUUCGGUGUCCGAGUUGUAAUCUCUAGAAAUGUUUUCCGCGUUGGACCGCACACAAGUCUGUUGGAAUACAGCGGCAUAGUGGUGAGACCCCCGUAUAUGGUGCGGACGCCCAGCGCUUUGUGAUACAUUUUCGAAGAGUCGAGUUGUUUGGGAAUGCAGCUCAAAUUGGGUGGUAAAUUCCAUCUAAAGCUAAAUAUUGGCGAGAGACCGAUAGCGAACAAGUACCGUGAGGGAAAGAUGAAAAGCACUUUGGAAAGAGAGUUAACAGUACGUGAAAUUGUUGGAAGGGAAACGCUUGAAGUCAGACUUGCUUGCCGAGCAAUCGGUUUGCAGGCCAGCAUCAGUUUUCCGGGAUGGAUAAUGGUAGAGAGAAGGUAGCAGUUUCGGCUGUGUUAUAGCUCUCUGCUGGAUACAUCUUGGGGGACUGAGGAACGCAGUGUGCCUUUUGGCGGGGGUUUCGACCUCUUCACACUUAGGAUGCUGGUGGAAUGGCUUUAAACGACCCGUCUUGAAAC